UUAUGCAAAUAAUAUACCCAUCUUCUUCAUCCCCAAAUCAUCAACUUUUUACUUUUAUCACCAUCAACAGUUCAAUUUUCACAAGCUUUCUUAUUAUUUCGUUCUCAUACUCAAAUUCAAUAAAUCCUCCAAGAAAUAAAAAUCCAAUUUGUUUCUCAUUAAUUAGAAAUCAAAGACGAACCUCACUUCACAUCACAGAUCGAAUUCACUCUCAAAAUCGUAGCUUCAUCAUAAUCCCUAUCUCAAAAUCAAAACGUAUGUAUCAUCAGAAAUUAAUAGAAAAAUUUAUUACCCUAGAUCUAGUCUCUUUGCUCCUGAAAUCAUCAGGGGUGUUUCCUUUUCUAUUUUUACCUUCAACAGAACUCCUCAACUAAAGUGGUUUUAAGAUCUCUUCUUUAAGUUUAAGAAAUAAAACCCCUUAAUCUAAUAUUGAAUCUUCUCUUACUGCGGGAAAUUUCGAGGCAAAGUUGAAUCAGAAGGAAGAGAAAAAGAAGGAAAAUAGGAAACGGGAGGGAAAGAACACAUGGAUGCAGCUUAUAUCUUAACUGGUAUAUACGAGGUGGCUACAGAAGAUGCACAACAAUGAAAAUGAAGCCGCAUAGGUUGGGUAGAAUCUCUUUCAGGAAAAUCAAAGGUAAGCGUAACUAUUUACAACGCCGCAGUAGUUAUAACUGGAUUUACGUUUCAUGACUUGCUUCACACAAGGAGU